rnacentral:rRNA from 1 species
UAACUCCGGCGAAACCGGAGGCUAAUACCGGGUAAUACUUUCUUUCGCAUGAAGGAAAGUUGAAAGAUGGCUUCUCGCUAUCACUUACAGAUGGGCCCGCGGCGCAUUAGCUAGUUGGUGAGGUAACGGCUCACCAAGGCGACGAUGCGUAGCCGACCUGAGAGGGUGAUCGGCCACACUGGGACUGAGACACGGCCCAGACUCCUACGGGAGGCAGCAGUAGGGAAUCUUCCGCAAUGGACGAAAGUCUGACGGAGCAACGCCGCGUGAACGAUGAAGGUCUUCGGAUCGUAAAGUUCUGUUGUUAGGGAAGAACAAGUACCGUGCGAAUAGAGCGGUACCUUGACGGUACCUAACGAGGAAGCCCCGGCUAACUACGUGCCAGCAGCCGCGGUAAUACGUAGGGGGCAAGCGUUGUCCGGAAUUAUUGGGCGUAAAGCGCGCGCAGGCGGUUCCUUAAGUCUGAUGUGAAAGCCCACGGCUCAACCGUGGAGGGUCAUUGGAAACUGGGGAACUUGAGGACAGAAGAGGAGAGUGGAAUUCCACGUGUAGCGGUGAAAUGCGUAGAUAUGUGGAGGAACACCAGUGGCGAAGGCGACUCUCUGGUCUGUUUCUGACGCUGAGGUGCGAAAGCGUGGGUAGCAAACAGGAUUAGAUACCCUGGUAGUCACGCCGUAACGAUGAGUGCUAGGUGUUAGGGGGCUUCCACCCCUUAGUGCUGAAGUUACGCAUUAAGCACUCCGCCUGGGGAGUACGGCCGCAAGGCUGAAAACUCAAGGAAUUGACGGGGGCCGCACAAGCGGUGGAGCAUGUGGUUAAUUCGAAC